rnacentral:rRNA from 1 species
CCUACGGGCGGCAGCAGUGAGGAAUAUUGGUCAAUGGGCGAGAGCCUGAACCAGCCAAGUCGCGUGAAGGAUGACGGCCCUACGGGAUGUAAACUUCUUUUGUCAGGGAGCAAUUGAGUCCACGUGUGGGCUUAGCGAGAGUAACUGAAGAAAAAGCAUCGGCUAACUACGUGCCAGCAGCCGCGGUAAUACGGAGGAUGCGAGCGUUAUUAGGUUGUAGUGGGUUUAAAGGGUGCGUAUGCGGAAUAGCAAGUACGCGUUAAAAAUUCGGGGCGCAACCCCGUCGUGCCGUUGAAACUGAUGUUCUUUAGUGGGCGAGAAGUAUGCGGAAGGCGUGGUGUAGCGGUGAAAUGCAUAGAUAUCACGCAGAACUCCGAUUGCGAAGGCAGCAUACCGGCGCCCAACUGACGCUGAAGCACGAAAGCGUGGGUAUCGAACAGGAUUAGAUACCCUUGUAGUC